UGGACGUCGAGCGGCGGACGGGUGAGUAACGGCUGGGAACCUGCCCUGACGAGGGGGAUAACCGUUGGAAACGACGGCUAAUACCGCAUAAUGUCUUGAUUCGUUAGAGUCAGGACCAAAGGUGGCCUCUACAUGUAAGCUAUCGCGUUGGGAUGGGCCCAGUUAGGAUUAGCUAGUUGGUAAGGUAAUGGCUUACCAAGGCAACGAUCCUUAACUGGUUUGAGAGGAUGAUCAGCCACACUGGGACUGAGACACGGCCCAGACUCCUACGGGAGGCAGCAGUGGGGAAUAUUGCACAAUGGGGGAGACCCUGAUGCAGCCAUGCCGCGUGUGUGAAGAAGGCCUUCGGGUUGUAAAGCACUUUCAGCAGUGAGGAAGGUCGUGUACUUAAUACGUGCACGGCUUGACGUUAGCUGCAGAAGAAGCACCGGCUAACUCCGUGCCAGCAGCCGCGGUAAUACGGAGGGUGCGAGCGUUAAUCGGAAUUACUGGGCGUAAAGCGCAUGCAGGCGGUUUGUUAAGUCAGAUGUGAAAGCCCGGGGCUCAACCUCGGAACCGCAUUUGAAACUGGCAGGCUAGAGUCUUGUAGAGGGGGGUAGAAUUUCAGGUGUAGCGGUGAAAUGCGUAGAGAUCUGAAGGAAUACCAGUGGCGAAGGCGGCCCCCUGGACAAAGACUGACGCUCAGAUGCGAAAGCGUGGGUAGCAAACAGGAUUAGAUACCCUGGUAGUCCACGCCGUAAACGCUGUCUACUUGGAGGUUGAGGUUUUAGACUUUGGCUUUCGGCGCUAACGCAUUAAGUAGACCGCCUGGGGAGUACGGCCGCAAGGUUAAAACUCAAAUGAAUUGACGGGGGCCCGCACAAGCGGUGGAGCAUGUGGUUUAAUUCGAUGCAACGCGAAGAACCUUACCUACUCUUGACAUCCAGCGAAGCCUUUAGAGAUAGAGGCGUGCCUUCGGGAGCGCUGAGACAGGUGCUGCAUGGCUGUCGUCAGCUCGUGUUGUGAAAUGUUGGGUUAAGUCCCGCAACGAGCGCAACCCUUAUCCUUGUUUGCCAGCACGUAAUGGUGGGAACUCCAGGGAGACUGCCGGUGAUAAACCGGAGGAAGGUGGGGACGACGUCAAGUCAUCAUGGCCCUUACGAGUAGGGCUACACACGUGCUACAAUGGCAGAUACAGAGGGCAGCGAGACAGCGAUGUUUAGCGAAUCCCUUAAAGUUUGUCGUAGUCCGGAUUGGAGUCUGCAACUCGACUCCAUGAAGUCGGAAUCGCUAGUAAUCGUGGAUCAGAAUGCCACGGUGAAUACGUUCCCGGGCCUUGUACACACCGCCCGUCACACCAUGGGAGUGGGCUGCA
rnacentral:rRNA from 1 species